rnacentral:rRNA from 1 species
CCUACGGGUGGCAGCAGUAGGGAAUAUUGCUCAAUGGGGGAAACCCUGAAGCAGCAACGCCGCGUGGAGGAUGAAGGUUUUCGGAUUGUAAACCCCUUUUGUUAGAGAAGAAAAUGACGGUAGCUAACGAAUAAGCACCGGCCAACUCCGUGCCAGUAGCCGCGGUCAUACGGAGGGUGCAAGCGUUACUCGGUAUUACUGGGCGUAAAGAGCGUGUAGGCGGGAUAGCAAGUCAGAUGUGAAAUCCUAUGGCUUAACCAUAGAACUGCAUUUGAAACUGUUAUUCUAGAGUAUGGGAGAGGUGAGUGGAAUUCUUGGUGUAGGGGUGAAAUCCGUAGAGAUCGAGAGGAAUACUCAUUGCGAAGGCGACCUGCUAGAACAUAACUGACGCUGAUGAGCGAAAGCGUGGGGAGCAAACAGGAUUAGAUACCCCAGUAGUC